AUUGAACGCUGGCGGCAGGCUUAACACAUGCAAGUCGAGCGGGGGAAGGUAGCUUGCUACUGGACCUAGCGGCGGACGGGUGAGUAAUGCUUAGGAAUCUGCCUAUUAGUGGGGGACAACAUCUCGAAAGGGAUGCUAAUACCGCAUACGUCCUACGGGAGAAAGCAGGGGAUCUUCGGACCUUGCGCUAAUAGAUGAGCCUAAGUCGGAUUAGCUAGUUGGUGGGGUAAAGGCCUACCAAGGCGACGAUCUGUAGCGGGUCUGAGAGGAUGAUCCGCCACACUGGGACUGAGACACGGCCCAGACUCCUACGGGAGGCAGCAGUGGGGAAUAUUGGACAAUGGGGGGAACCCUGAUCCAGCCAUGCCGCGUGUGUGAAGAAGGCCUUAUGGUUGUAAAGCACUUUAAGUGAGGAGGAGGCUACUUUAGUUAAUACCUAGAGAUAGUGGACGUUACUCGCAGAAUAAGCACCGGCUAACUCUGUGCCAGCAGCCGCGGUAAUACAGAGGGUGCGAGCG
rnacentral:rRNA from 1 species